rnacentral:lncRNA from 1 species
UAAGAUUUUAUACAACCAGUUUUGACUAUAAUAAUUAAUAAAGUGGACCAGUAUUAAAAAUAUUGCUGAAUCAUAGGAAAUUCAAAGUUUAGAAUGCUGGAGGAGUGAUAUCAGGGAUUCAAAGUAUACAUAUUAGGCUAUUAACUCAGGGAGGAUUGGUGACAUAAUUAAUCUAGACACAACAUGAUCAUAUAUCAUAACCAAAAUUUAAGCAGUGAUUAUCGAUCAUGAUAUUAUAUAACCUGACCAAGAUUCCAUUACUUUGUACAUAACUAUUCUACUACCUAAUACAGAACAAAACAAAUUUCUCACCAUGGAAAAAGCAGUACUUCUGGCCACUGAAGGAGAAUCAGAAAAGCUACAAGUGAAGUCCAAUGAGCUAGAAGUAAUUACCAAUCCAACACUGGUGUUGGAUUCUGAUUUCGUGGAAAUCCCUAAAGUUUUAUAUGGACGAAUGAUGUCCGGGAAAUCAGUGAACAAAGUGGGGCUAAAGAAUAUGUUUGAAUCCUUGUGGCAGAACAGUGGAGGUGUGAGGAUUGAGGAUUACACCGAAGGUAUAGUUAUUUUUACGUUUGAAUCUGAAGCGGUGAAGAAUAGAGUAAUCAGAGGGCAACCAUGGUAUUUCAC